UUAAAAUUAGUUAAACUAUAACGAAAGCUUGUCAAGCUUUAAUUAUUACAAAGUAAUAUUUUAAA
rnacentral:tRNA from 1 species